GGGAAAUUUUGUAUAUUCCCAUUAAAAGCUGGGCCAUGGUUUGGUAGCCUAAACCAUGUUAUUCUCUUGUUUCUUAGGGCUUUCUACCUUCCUCUUUAUUUUGUGUGUGUGUGACGCCGGGUAUUGAACCCAGGGCCUUGGGCAUGAUGGGCCAGCUCUCCACUAUGGACUUACACCUCAUCCCUGAACCAACCUAGAUGCCCUUCCAUAGACGAAUGGAUAAAGAAACUGUGGUACACGCACACAAUGGAAUGUUACUCAGCAUUAAAAAAGAAUAAAAUCAUGGCAUUUGCAGGUAAAUGGAUGGAGUUGGAGAAUAUCAUGCUAAGUAAGUCAAUCCCAAAAAAACCAAGGGGCUGAAUAUUUUCUUCCUUUCUUUCUUCCUCUCACUUUCUCUGACUUUUUUUUUUUUUUUUUUAAUAUUGCUAUUGACUACUCCCUUCUGUUCUUUUUCCUCCUUGCCACUUGAAAAUUUGGGUUUGGAACACAGUGUCAUUGAAAGCGAUACUUCCAUUGUGCAAAAAAUCUAAAGAAGAAAGAGCCCACCCCCCAUUACACAGACUUUGUUUGACUUCUCUCCUCCCCCUGUUUUUGUUUGUUUGUUUGUUUGUUUGUUGUUCUGGUACCGGGGAUUGAAUUAAAGGAGUGCUUUACUGCAGAGCUACAUCCCCAGCCCUUUUUAUAUUUUUAUUUUGAGACACCACACCUGGCUUGGUUGCCGUUUCUACCCCCAGAUCGUCAGAUGGGCUUUUAACUGAAACAAAGUGAAUGUUACUAUCAUUUUUUUUUCUUCCUAAAACCACCCUGAACACAUUAAAUAAAGGCAUUGAGGUGGUUCCUCCAUCACAAGAUUAUUUGGAGUUGGGUGCUUCAGGCCCUCUACCGAAAUAUUCCUCUUGUCUCUUUUAAUUUUUGGUAAUCUAAAUAUGAGAUUAAAAGCCUGGACUGCACCAAGUAUGGUGGCACACAUCUGCAAUGCCAUCUACUCCAGAGGCUGAUAUAGGAGGAUCCCAAGUUCAAGGCCAGCCUCAACAAUUUAGCAAGUCCCUGUCUCAAAAAAAAAAAAAAAAAAAAGGCUGGGGCUACAGCUCAGUGGUAAAGUACUCCUGGGUCUAGUCUCCUAGUACUGAGGGGGAAAAAAUUCUGAACUGGGUUGUGGAAAUAUCCAGUCCCCAGAUUUUGUUCUGCUUCCCAUUGUCACUCAAAUAUCUCGCUAGCCUGACACACAGAGAUGUGAAAAGUGAGGUUCCAGAAUACAGGCAGCAUCCUGACUCCUACUGUGAUGUCCGGCAAGUUCUGGAGUCUCCCUAAAUUUUCACCUCCUCCCACUGUGGACCAAACAACAGCAUAGACUUGUAUUAGUAGAUAAAGUUGCGAAGAGGAUUGACUGCAGCCUUUCAUGAAAAUGUCUACACAGAGCCGCAGGAACGCAAUACAGUUCACCUUCCAGCUUUGCUGAGCUUGCUGUUGCCGUCUCCAGACUGAUUCUGUAGUUCAAUCCUUCUAAAAUAGGAAUGGGGGAAAGAGCAUGUUACAGCAUCUCAGGAACUUCACGUUCCUCUGGUCCAUGAGGGCAGAGUGGAAAGCCAUGUGAAGUCAGAAGGGAUGCCUGAAUAUUUUCUCCUAAUAACCUCAGCAAAGGCAUGUAUCACUUUAAGAAAAACAACCUGGUCUCUAUGGGUUCAUGACACAGGUAAAUUAGAAACGAUUAAUGACACCUUCACAUCCUUUAAAACAAGUGGACAAUUUUUUUUUUUUUUUUGGUAUAAAUGAUCAGCUAAGUGAAUAUUUCAGGCUUUGCACCCAAAUGAUUUCUGUGUUUCCUUAGCCGUGGUGUUAGGUUAAAAUUGAAGAAAUUAGGUUACAAUUUUGCAUCUUGUGAUGCAAAAGCAGAUGACCUGUAAAUUGGAAUGCAUCAUUGCGUUCCAAUAAAUAGUUAUUUGCACCAAUGGAUGGGCUGGAUUUGGCUUCAGAUCUGUAGUUUACUGAAUCCCAAUUUAAAAUGAUAGCAUCAUAGACUCCCUCGAUGAGAAAGGAGCUGCCCCCAGCCAGUGCUUGAGUCUUCGCUAAUACAGCCUCAUGAAGCGGUUAUUCCACUUUUGCUUAGAUUCCUCCUGGACAUGGUGGCUUUCUACUUCCUGAUGUGGACAGAUCAAUUCUUAAAUUCUUAUUUUAACUGAUCUCGGAUUGUCUGUCUGAUCCUCUGGUGGUUGGUAGUGCUUUUCUUUAUUGAGGUGACCUUGAGAGUGACACUGUCAGUGAUCCAAGCAAGAGAAGUGAUUGGUUCUGAUGUCCACAGAGAAAGUCGGGUGAGGACAUGACUACGUUGACCUUGUUCACUAACAGCAAUGUAUGAAGAACACAGUCCAAGGGUCCCGGGAGUCCUCUGCUCUACUAAAUAUUUCUUUAUUACAGAUCAUGGGGAAUUCAGUUGUUUCCAGGUCAGGGAUCAAGACAGAUAGAGCAAUUGGUGAUUUUGGAGAAGCACCUGUUAACCUACAAGGAAAAACUUUUUAAUAUUUCCACAUGUCUUCCCAUGGGAAUUGUGAAAAGUUUCUAUAAGACUGAGAAGAAUCCCAUCCUGUAUGGUAACUUCAAGGCACGAGGUUCCCAGGAGAGUUACGAGGUCUUCUUCAAUUUUAACCUAACAUGACCUGGGCAUGGUGGUGCCCACCCAAAAUCCCAGUGACACGGGAGGCUGGGGCAGGAGGAUUGCAAGUUCAAGACCAACCACAGCAACUUAGGGAGGCCCUAGCAAUUUAGGGAGACCCUGUCUCAAAACAAAAAAUUAAAAGGGCUGGGAAUGUAGCUCAGUGGUUAAGCACUCCUGAGUUUAAUCCCAUUACUGGGGGUUAAAAAACAAAACUUUUUUUUUCUUUUUAACCUCACAUGAGUGUGAAAUAUUUACAAGCUUGAGGAUUGUAAAGUAUGUAAGAACAUUUUGGCAAUGUGAAUUGGAGGCAAAUUCAAAUGGAAGAGGUAUGUUUUGAGAUACAUGUAGGCUAAUAGGUAGCUGGAGGCAGUUACUCAGCCCUGAAGUGCUCUUUCUACCUGCACGCUGGGCGAAGCAUGCUGUUUAUUCAAAUCAGCUACUUGCUGAGGCCGGUUCCUGCUUGCUCUUUAUAUUUCCAUUUAAAUAUGAUUUCUUCCUAGAAACCUCUGAAUCCACAGACCUAUCAAUCAGACUUACUUUAUGUCCCUCCCCAGACUCUUCCAGCAGUGCUAGCCUCCCAGGUUCUGGGCUAGGAUAAUUCCUCCCCAGGGUUGAAGGAUCCCCAUCUCUUCACCUUCAAACCAUUUGCCCCUUCCCUAGGAAGAGGCUGCAUUCUAGCAGAGCUUCCUUCACCGGCCCAGCAGCUUCUAACUCAAGCUCAGCUAGAGUAAAGUUGCUAGAUUUCACAAAUUCAAUUACAGGACAACCAAUCAAGUUUGAAUUUCAAAUAAAUGAGGACUUACCGGGUACAUUGGUACAUGCCUAUAAUCCCAGCCACUAGGGAGGCCAAGGCAAGAGGAUCACAAGUUUGAGUCCAGUCUCAGCAACAUAGUGAGACCCUGUCUCAAAAUAAAAAACAAAAAAAGGGCUGGAGAUAUACCUCAGUGGUAAAGCACUCCUGGAUUCAAUUUCCAGUAUUAAAAAAAUAAAAAAUCAGAUAUAUGAUGACUAAUUUUUUUUUAACAAAAGCAUGUCCCGUGUAUCAUUUGGAGGAUGCUCAUACUAGAAAUCCUCAAUUGUUUACUUAAACUUCAAACGUAAUCUGCACAUCUUAAACAAGAAUGACCUCGAGACAACCUAUUUUGUCCCAUCUCUUCCAGAGUCAGCUAGAGCAUGGAACCCCUGCAUGUGGCAUCUGGCUUCUCCAGUAGCUGGCCAGAGGAGCUGGACAUAAUUCUGUAUGGCUGUGAACACUGAUGGAUUAGAGACAAAAAGUGCACAAGAUCUAGCAGGAAAUUUCCUCUUAGUCGUCCAAUGGAUGGAUCUGAGGCCUGGUGGCUUCCUGCAGUUUGUAUGGAGUCAUUUGGAGGAUUAAACAACUGUUUGAGGAGGCUGGGGAAUAACUCAAUUGCUGGAGUGCUUGCCUCACAUGCACAAGGUCUUGGGUUCAAUCCCCAGCACCACAUCCCCCCCCCCACAAAAAAAAAAACAAAAACCUUGCUUGUGCUUAUGCCCUUAUAGGUUUGUUCAUCUCCUUCCACACCUAAUCUCCCCUUCCCCCCUCACAUUUCCUGCCCUUUGAACUGCACCUCCCAUUAAAACAAUAAUUGAUACAGAGCAUUCACUGACAGAUAGCAUGAUGCCUUUCUUGAUUUUUU
rnacentral:lncRNA from 1 species